rnacentral:snoRNA from 1 species
AAGUCUCCACUUUCAGGAAUCAUUUCUGUAGUUCAUGACUGGAGAAGUUUCUCUGAGCAUGUGGAACACCGGAAACCAUGAGGAGGAGGCACAGAGUUUGCUCUUGAGUGUGAAGCGAGUUCUUGGGGCUGCUUUGCUACGGCUGCCAUUUGUCCUUAGUGAUCAUUCCUUUCUUCUUCUGAGAGAGGGGAGGAAGAGGAUACAGUCUGAGUGGU